UAGCCAAGUGGAUCAAGGCAGUGGAUUGUGA
rnacentral:tRNA from 7 species